rnacentral:rRNA from 1 species
AUUGAACGCUGGCGGCAGGCCUAACACAUGCAAGUCGGACGGUGGCACAGAGGAGCUUGCCCCCCGGGUGAAGAGGGCGGGACGGGGGAGUAAUGCCUGGGGAUCGGCCCGAAAGAGGGGGUUAACCACUGAAAAGGUUGGCUAAUCCGGAAAAACGUCGCAGACCAAAAGAGGGGGACCUUCGGGCCUCUCACUAUGGGAUGAACCAGGAUGGGUUUAGCUGGUAGGCGGGGUAACGGCCAACCUAGGCGACGAUCCCUAGCUGGUCUGAGAGGAUGACCAGCCACACUGGAACUGAGACACGGUCCAGACUCCUACGGGAGGCAGCAGUGGGGAAUAUUGCACAAUGGGCGCAAGCCUGAUGCAGCCAUGCCGCGUGUAUGAAGAAGGCCUUCGGGUUGUAAAGUACUUUCAGCGGGGAGGAAGGCGAUAAGGUUAAUAACCUUGUCGAUUGACGUUACCCGCAGAAGAAGCACCGGCUAACUCCGUGCCAGCAGCCGCGGUAA